rfam:Cactus mild mottle virus isolate CMMoV-Kr, complete genome.
AGUGUUUCCCAGUCCACUUAAAUCGAACUGG